rnacentral:rRNA from 1 species
AUUGAACGCUGGCGGCAGGCCUAACACAUGCAAGUCGAGCGGAUGCAGGGAGCUUGCUCCUGGAUUCAGCGGCGGACGGGUGAGUAAUGCCUAGGAAUCUGCCUGGUAGUGGGGGAUAACGUCCGGAAACGGGCGCUAAUACCGCAUACGUCCUGAGGGAGAAAGUGGGGGAUCUUCGGACCUCACGCUAUCAGAUGAGCCUAGGUCGGAUUAGCUAGUUGGUGGGGUAAAGGCCUACCAAGGCGACGAUCCGUAACUGGUCUGAGAGGAUGAUCAGUCACACUGGAACUGAGACACGGUCCAGACUCCUACGGGAGGCAGCAGUGGGGAAUAUUGGACAAUGGGCGAAAGCCUGAUCCAGCCAUGCCGCGUGUGUGAAGAAGGUCUUCGGAUUGUAAAGCACUUUAAGUUGGGAGGAAGGGCAGUAAGUUAAUACCUUGCGGGUUUGACGUUACCAACAGAAUAAGCACCGGCUAACUUCGUG